AGGUUAUAAUUUCCCCACCAAGUACUACUUUGCUGUAUCCUGUUUACCUUUCACCAGAGGCAUAUAAAGGGGUAGAGCGUAUAAAGGACGCAGCUCCUGCAAGUACCUCAGGGAAAGCCAAGUCUGGACAUUGAGUUCUGCCCAGCUGAAGAGUGGUAGGUGUUAUUGAAGAUAUCUUCAAAGUUAACAUAGAGCCGUAAUAUAAAUAGGACCCAUCAAAGACAUAUGUCUGUUCUGGAAGGAAGAGUGAUUUCCUGGCAGGAAUUGUAAAUUGGAACUGGAAAAGCAACGUUUGGACUCGGUUUCAACACUUACUAACUUUGAGAUUUUAGAAUUCUGGUUUUGCAUGGGGUAUCAACUAAGAAAAUUCCUUCUCAGCCUUGAAGAUAUGAUGACUAAUGAUUAUAGGUAGCAAUAAAAAGUAAAUAACUGCCAAUACAGGCAAAGAUAAAUCUUAAAUGCAGUAUGCUGAGUGAAAGGGGCCCAAGUUCAAAAAGGUAUAUACAGUACAAUGCCAUUUAUAUAAGAAUCUCCCAAAAUCAAAGGUAUGGGAACAGACACCAGAUCAGUGUGUACCAGGGGCCAGAGGUGAGUGAAUGGGU